AACGUAGGACGCAAGCGUUAUCCGGAGUUACUGGGCGUAAAGCGCGGGCAGGCGGUCUUGCCAGUCUGAUGUGAAAUCUCCUCGCUCAACGGGGAGCAGCCAUUGGAAACUACAAGACUGGAGUCUGGCAGAGGUGGGCGGAAUUCCGGGUGGAGUGGUGAAAUGCGUAGAGAUCCGGAAGAACACCGGUGGCGAAGGCGGCCUGCUGGGCAGUUGCUGACACUGAGGCGCGACAGCGUGGGGAGCAAACAGG
rnacentral:rRNA from 1 species